AUACGUAGGUGGCAAGCGUUGUCCGGAAUUAUUGGGCGUAAAGCGCAUGUAGGCGGUAAUUUAAGUCUGUCGUGAAACUGCGGGGCUCAGCCCCGUAUGGCGAUGGAAACUGGGUUACUUGAGUGCAGGAGAGGAAAGGGGAACUCCCAGUGUAGCGGGGAAAUGCGUAGAUAUUGGGAAGAACACCGGUGGCGAAGGCGCCUUUCUGGACUGUGUCUGACGCUGAGAUGCGAAAGCCAGGGUAGCGAACGGGAUUAGAUACCCCGGUAGUCCUGGCCGUAAACGAUGGGUACUAGGUGUGGGAGGUAUCGACCCCUUCCGUGCCGGAGUUAACGCAAUAAGUACCCCGCCUGGGGAGUACGGCCGCAAGGCUUAAACUCAAAGGAAUCGACGGGG
rnacentral:rRNA from 1 species